CCACGUGAGUCAGCUUCUUAAAGGAGACGGCUGGGUGGUUGUAAUUGCGGCAGCUGGGAGACUUGGCAUUAGCCGCGUCACCGAGGUGGUGGCGGAGGCCUAGCUUCCUGGGGCCCAAGGAAGCCCGGUGAUGACAGAUGAAAACAGCACGCUGGAUUUCAAGACAAGAUUGUAAGCUCUGUGACAACGAAUGAAGUCUCUGUUUUAUAUUUAACUUCUCCACAUCAUCAACCCAUCUACCCACCCACACCGAAAAGGACAAUGUGGAGUCUAAGUUUUUGUUGUAAUGCCACAUCAACUGAUAUAGAAGGGGAAGCUCCAUCCCUUACCAUUUGAGACCCAGAAGCAGAGGCUCCGUCUUCUUCCCACCAGAAUUUUUUUUUUUAGAAAAAAAUUUAUUGUCUUUUUAAAAAAUAAAGUUACAUAGAUCACACAAA
rnacentral:lncRNA from 1 species